rnacentral:tRNA from 1 species
ACCUGGCUGGCUCAGUCGGUAGAGCAUGUGACUCUUGAUCUCAGGGUUGUGAAUUCAAGACCCAUGUUGGGCA